UGCGGCCCCCGCCAGCGCCGCUUCGUCUGCGGUCCCCGCCAGCGCCGCUUCGUCUGCGGUGCCGACCAGCGCCGCUUCGUCUGCGGUCCCCGCCAGCGCCGCUUCGUCUGCGGUGCCGACCAGCGCCCUUCUGCAUGGUACCUCGCCUGAUGUAGCCACGCAGGGCGGAGAGUGGAGGGGAUUGUGUUUAUGUAUCGGUCAUCAUGCAUCAGCAGUGUGCGUCCAUCUUGUGCUCCACUGACCUAGGCGCAGUUCCAUGCUGUUCAUUGCCAUGCAGUCCCAUGUUCAAUCCACUCCUGUUCGUCUCCUCAGUCACCCGGAGACCUUGGCCUACUCCUGGUCCUCUACGCCCGCCAGCGCCUCUUCGUCUGCGGCCCCCGCCAGCGCCGCUUCGUCUGCGGUCCCCGCCAGCGCCGCUUUGUCUGCGGUGCCGACCAGCGCCCUUCUGCAUGGCACCUCGCCUGAUGUAGCCACGCAGGGCGGAGAGUCACGGAGGUGAGCUAUUACUGAUUAGUUUUGUCCAGGUAAAUUUAGAGUAAUCAUACACUCACUUUCUGUCUUUUUGUUAUUUUUGUCAUUGUGUGUCAGACAACUUCACCGAUAACACUGAUACAAUUAUUUUUAGGGAACCUGCUUCUUGUGUUCUCAACUUGUUUCUUUGUUGAAUCAUUUCUCCAUCAUUAUCUUUCUGGACCCAUUUAUAUGAUUUUUUUCUGAAACUGGAUUGCUCUAUUCCAUUGAGUGUACCUAUUGCAAUGCAACUUUGUGCCUACAUAACUCAGCUGUAGGGUGAUACUUGUGCAGUUCAUUAUCUGGAUGUCAUGUGCCGUUUGUAUUAAUUGUCUGCAGGUGAUGAAAGUAUCUUCCAGCGGCCAGUUUAUUAGAUGCGACGAGUCUCUCUCUCUCUCUCUCUCUCUCUCUCUCUCUCUCUCUCUCUCUCUCUCUCUCUCUCUCUCUCUCUCUCUCUCUCUCUCUCUCUCUCUCUC